AUUGAACGCUGGCGGCAGGCCUAACACAUGCAAGUCAAGCGGAUGAAGGGAGCUUGCUCCUGGAUUCAGCGGCGGACGGGUGAGUAAUGCCUAGGAAUCUGCCUGGUAGUGGGGGAUAACGUCCGGAAACGGGCGCUAAUACCGCAUACGUCCUGAGGGAGAAAGUGGGGGAUCUUCGGACCUCACGCUAUCAGAUGAGCCUAGGUCGGAUUAGCUAGUUGGUGGGGUAAAGGCCUACCAAGGCGACGAUCCGUAACUGGUCUGAGAGGAUGAUCAGUCACACUGGAACUGAGACACGGUCCAGACUCCUACGGGAGGUAGCAGUGGGGAAUAUUGGACAAUGGGCGAAAGCCUGAUCCAGCCAUGCCGCGUGUGUGAAGAAGGUCUUCGGAUUGUAAAGCACUUUAAGUUGGGAGGAAGGGCAGUAAGUUAAUACCUUGCUGUUUUGACGUUACCAACAGAAUAAGCACCGGCUAACUUCGUG
rnacentral:rRNA from 1 species